rnacentral:rRNA from 1 species
AACAAACGCUGGCGGCGUGCCUAACACAUGCAAGUCGUACGAGAAAGGGUCCUUCGGGGCCUGAGUAAAGUGGCGCACGGGUGAGUAACGCGUGGAUAAUCUGCCCUUCAGUUGGGAAUAACUCAUCGAAAGGUGGGCUAAUACCGAAUAAUGCUGUGAGACCUCGGUUGAUCAGCCAAAGAGAGCCUCUGCUUGCAAGCCCUCGCUGAAGGAUGAGUCCGCGUACCAUUAGCUAGUUGGUAGGGUAAUGGCCUACCAAGGCGACGAUGGUUAGCUGGUCUGAUAGGAUGAUCAGCCACACUGGAACUGGGACACGGUCCAGACUCCUACGGGAGGUAGCAGUGAGGAAUCUUGCGCAAUGGGGGCAACCCUGACGCAGCAACGCCGCGUGAGUGAGGAAGGUCUUCGGAUCGUAAAGCUCUGUCGGAUGGAAAGAACCGCAUAGGGGUAAACAGCCCCUGUGUCUGACGGUACCAUCAAAGGAAGCACCGGCUAACUCCGUGCCAGCCGCCGCAGUAAUAC